rnacentral:misc_RNA from 1 species
AAGUCGUAACAAGGUUUCCGUAGGUGAACCUGCGGAAGGAUCAUUAUUGAAUAAAUCUGACGUGGUUGUCGCUGGCUCCCCCGGGAGUAUGUGCACGCCCGUCACCUUUAUUUCUCCACCUGUGCACACACUGUAGGCCUGGAUACCUCUCGUCGCAAGGCGGAUGCGUGGCUUGCUGUCGCUUUCGAAAGAAGGCCGGCUUGCCAUGAAUUUCCAGGUCUAUGAUUUCUUACACACCCCAAACUGAAUGUUAUGGAAUGUCAUCUCAAGGCCUUGUGCCUAUAAACCUAUACAACUUUCAGCAAUGGAUCUCUUGGCUCUC